GCGGAGCUACGUGCCCGGCGAGUCCGCUGACGGCCGUGGGGCGGGGCUCCAGGUGCAGCUAGGCCGGGGUCGGGGGUCCGCGGCCGCCGGAACCCCGUGGCUUGUGGUCUGGUCCCGCUUCCCUCCCUGUGUCCCCGUCCAGGCAGACAGACAGUCGGCGCUGAGGUGAUGCCGCGUGCGCGACAGGUCGGCCAUAAUCCAGGGACUGCGGGGGUACAGGGCCGGCUGCGGCCCGAGGGGACCGGAAGGCCUCGGCCCCCCUUCCGGUCCCCGCAGCACCCCCGAGGGCCCACCGCGUCUUCCCGGCAGGUCAGUGCGCCCGGCCGCGGAGUCCCUCCCACGCCCUCGCGGCCCGCGGCGGCCCAAGGUUUAGUCAGGUCCCUCCCCUCGUCACUUCUGGGAAGGAGGCGCCUUGCGUUAGUGGGAUGCUGAGCCCUGUCAUGACUGGACCGGUUAGUGCCUCCGCCCUGAGCCCGGGAGGAGACGCAUGACACCACGCUCUCCAGUCGUAUUUUCCAGAGAGAGUCCUGCCAAAUUCGGAAUCCGGCUUGUCUGUGCUGAGAGUUUGCAACAUCCAACUUCCGUGUAUGAGGAAGAGUAAAAUUAAUCACAGAAGAAAAGACAAUUGUGUAACAGUAAUAGGACUUGGAAGAAACUGCUCUCCCUCACAGCACCACAGGUGACAUUUAAACCAACAAAGCAUCUCUCCUGCUUAAGGUGACUGGGCACACGCUAUAAUCAAAGUGAAGGCAGAGACUUUUGCUUCUCACUACAGAAUGUCAAUGAGGAAAGCAUGUGGCUCCAGCUGCUACUGACAAGCAUUCUAUGACCACAAAGGGAACCCACUUUGAAAUGAAGCUGAUGAUAGGAAGAAAGAAAGUAGGUUUUUGAGGAUACUGUUAAGCAAUCUAAACACUGACCCUACCUCUCUGGAUUUUCUGAUGUGAAAACCAAUAAAGCCACUUGUUUAAACCA